rnacentral:rRNA from 1 species
UAUUACGGCCAAACUGGUGUGAAUGUGCCCGAUCUCGUCUGAUUUCGAAAGCUAAUCACACUCAGGCUCGGCCAGUACUUGGAUGGGAGACCACCUGGCAACUCUAAGUGCUGUAAGCU